rnacentral:rRNA from 1 species
CGGCCUGAGAGGGCGACCGGCCACACUGGGACUGAGACACGGCCCAGACUCCUACGGGAGGCAGCAGUGGGGAAUAUUGCACAAUGGGCGAAAGCCUGAUGCAGCGACGCCGCGUGAGGGAUGACGGCCUUCGGGUUGUAAACCUCUUUCAGCAGGGAAGAAGCGAAAGUGACGGUACCUGCAGAAGAAGCACCGGCUAACUACGUGCCAGCAGCCGCGGUAAUACGUAGGGUGCGAGCGUUGUCCGGAAUUAUUGGGCGUAAAGAGCUUGUAGGCGGUUUGUCGCGUCUGCUGUGAAAAUCCGGGGCUCAACCCCGGACUUGCAGUGGGUACGGGCAGACUAGAGUGUGGUAGGGGAGACUGGAAUUCCUGGUGUAGCGGUGAAAUGCGCAGAUAUCAGGAGGAACACCGAUGGCGAAGGCAGGUCUCUGGGCCACUACUGACGCUGAGAAGCGAAAGCAUGGGGAGCGAACAGGAUUAGAUACCCUGGUAGUCCAUGCCGUAAACGUUGGGCGCUAGGUGUGGGACUCAUUCCACGAGUUCCGUGCCGCAGCUAACGCAUUAAGCGCCCCGCCUGGGGAGUACGGCCGCAAGGCUAAAACUCAAAGGAAUUGACGGGGGCCCGCACAAGCGGCGGAGCAUGCGGAUUAAUUCGAUGCAACGCGAAGAACCUUACCAAGGCUUGACAUAUACCGGAAACUUCCAGAGAUGGUUGCCCCCUUUGGGUCGGUAUACAGGUGGUGCAUGGUUGUCGUCAGCUCGUGUCGUGAGAUGUUGGGUUAAGUCCCGCAACGAGCGCAACCCUCGUUCUAUGUUGCCAGCACGUUAUGGUGGGGACUCAUGGAAGACUGCCGGGGUCAACUCGGAGGAAGGUGGGGAUGACGUCAAAUCAUCAUGCCCCUUAUGUCUUGGGCUUCACGCAUGCUACAAUGGCCGGUACAAAGGGCUGCGAUGCCGUAAGGUGGAGCGAAUCCCAUAAAACCGGUCUCAGUUCGGAUUGGGGUCUGCAACUCGACCCCAUGAAGUCGGAGUCGCUAGUAAUCGCAGAUCAGCAACGCUGCGGUGAAUACGUUCCCGGGCCUUGUACACACCGCCCGUCAAGUCACGAAAGUCGGUAACACCCGAAGCCGGUGGCCCAACCCUUGUGGGGGGAGCCGUCGAAGGUGGGACUGGCGAUUGGGACUAAGUCGUAACAGGG